AGAGGAGUACACACACGCGCAUCAUCUGGAAGCGAACUGCGCUUUCACCAUUGAUGUUACACAUUUUUUUUUUCGUGGGCAACUCUUUUUUUUUUGGAUUUUUAUAUUCUUUCUGCGUUCUACGUGCCACACGCGCACAGGCAUCCGCUGCCCUGUUGCUUCAGAGUGCAAAAUCGGUGACCAACAGAGGACCAUCGUUGGUGGGAGCUGUGGUCGUUGCACCUAUUGCGGCCCUCCUCACUUGAGCAUUGUCUGUGGAGCUGGCUCGACGAUUAGAGAAAGCGCAUCACAGUCCCGCCCAUCUUUCCUACGCACGCUCGCCUUGUACAUAGCCAUUUUCUUCUUUGCCGUAACUAAUUUUCAGUAACCUCUCUCAUUUUGUUUUUCUUCGUCUUCUUCGGCUGGUUUCGUUUUGUGUUGUGCCACACCAAGACCUUUCAGUGCACAUCUUUCUCACCUCCCCUUCACAUCCCCCCCGCCUGCUGUCGCAGAGUAAAUUAUUGUUUGGUGUGCGGCGUGUGCGCGCGCGUGGCUUUGUGUGUGUGUUUAUUUUUUUUUGGAUUUCCUUUCCCCCUUGGGACUACGCCAAGUCUGUUGUAUGCCCCCGUCAGUCCCUUCCGCCGACGUCUCUCUCUCGUUUUGAUCGCGCCUAAGCUGCCGUUUUUUUUUUCCCUUUGCGUUCGUGUUGUGACUUGGUUUAAGCUACGGAGCGGGGCGCAUCUUGCCCCUCCACACGUUCUCUCUUUCCGUUGACGUGUCGAUCGCGCUCCUCACAGUUCUCUUUCCCUUUGGUUGUUGGCCGCGUGUGUAUAUGUAUAUUCUUUAUUCUCCUUUUUACACCACGUUUGGUCUUGUGGGUCUCUCUCGAUAUAUAUAUAUAUAUAUAUAUAUAUAUAUACCCGUUUUUGUGUGUGUUGUUGCGCUCUUGCAGGGUGGAGCGCAGCGGCGCCCUAAAAAAAAACGCUACGACCUCAGCAGGUCUGAAACAGCAUCAGAAAAGGAGGAAGGCAGCUCGACCUCCCGUAUCUCCUCUCGAUAAUCAUGUCGUCACUUUUUACGGAAGUACCGGACAGCAACACGCUCUUCAAGGACACUGAGUUCAUCGCAAGCAAUCAAGAUGUGGCAGAUCAGUGGGUGUCCAUUCGCGAUCUGUAUCCGAGCGGCGUGAACCAGCCGCUGCUGCCCGAAGUAUUCUCGCGCGAGCAGUUCGGCCAGGGCAACCACUAUGAAUGCUUCAUGCUCUCGGCACUUGCAACGCUGAUCCGCUUCCCGGAUGUGAUCCGCAACUGCUUUGUGACGAAGAAGGUGCGCCAGGAUGGCCGCUACACGUUCCAGUUCUUCCGCAGGCAGGAGUGGGUAAAGGUCGAGAUCGACGACACCAUUCCUUUAGAGGAUGAUGCGGUUCUGUACGCGCGGUCCCCGACUGAGCACUGGUGGCCGCUGCUGCUGGAGAAGGCGUACGCGAAGUUCUACACCGGCUACGACCAGCUCGAGGGCUGCACGUUGCAGGAGACAUUCCACGACCUGACAGGCAACCCGGUGCUGAACAUCCCCAUGGACGCCAAGCUGGCCAAGGCGGCCGGCGUCAAUACUAAAGAUGGACCUUACUGGUUGUUGAUGGGUGAAUGCCUGCUACGCGGCGACCAUGUCUUGUCUGCCCUUACGAAGGAUGCGGAACUGGAAAGCAUCGGCAUGCAGUCGGAGCAGCAAUACGCAAUUCUAGGUAUCUUCUCUCUUACAGGAUCUUCGGCACUGGACGACAUCGUUAUUCAUCUGCACAACCCCUUCGAGGACGAUGAGUACGAGUACAGCGGUCCCUUAAACAAGAACGACAGCAAGUGGACAGCGAAGCUGCGGCAGCAAUACCCCGUAGAUGACCGCUAUUCCAUCUUUAUUCCGCUGAAGUUGUUUCUGAAAUCCGUGAACUCCAUCCAGCACUGCUUUAUGCGCACCAUCGAUGCUGUGUCGCAAACGUACAGCGCCGCAUGGAAGAGUGAGUCGGCCGGCGGCAACCCGACGAGUGUGUUGUGGCGCAAGAACCCGCUAUUCCUGGUGCGAAACAGCGGCCCGGCGGAGGUCAAGAUAGUCACGAUGAUACAGCAGGAAGACCAGCGCCGCUUCUCCAAUCCGGAUAGCGACACAACUUACGCUCAGUGUGGUGUUGUCGUGACUCGGUUCACCUACCAGCACCCGAUACCGACCUUCUACGUCACCGGAAACAGCCACAAGACAAUCUUCAAGGGCCUCUUCCUCAACUCGCGCGACGUGUCGAACGUAUUUACGAUCCCGGGGCACUCCAUGUGCUACCUCGUCCCCUGCACCAUGCAAAAAGGCGUCGAGGCUAGCUUUCAGUUAUCGCUGUACCACCUCAAGGAUCAAGAUUACUCGCAGCUCUCAGUAGAGCAGCUGACCAUCCCUGGCAUGAACUGGGCCGGCCCUGCCACGAAAGAUAUUGAGCUGUGCCAGAAAAAAAAGGACCGUGCUGACUUCUACGUCGAUGAAGGGACCGAUAUUCACAUCCUCACGCACCAAACAAAGCCCUACGUCAGCAAGUCCGGCGGUGACGCCAUGACGGAGGACUACACGGGCAUGUACCUCUACGACGACACGGACCGCAAGAUAGCCGGUGUACACGCUGCCACGAACUUCCGCGAGAUCAGCAUCAUCCACCGCCUCCCCCGCAGCGGUCGCUAUGCCAUCUCCAUCACGUGCCCGCGUGCGAAGGGCGAGGUGCCGGCUUACAUUACCAUCGUUGGCUCGCACGCCUCGAACGUACGCAUCGUCGACCCACCAGAGGAUGCCACGAUGUUCGACGAUGAGGACAUCAUCGACGAAGGCGAAGACGCCGCCCUCGUGCACAACCCGAUCGACUACGUCCCCGUCGUAUUCGAUGUGGCGCACCUCGACGAGCAGGCCGAAAGCGAUUCCCCGUUCGAGGACAAGCGCUUCUACGUGGACAACCGUGGUGCCACGAGCGAGCCAUGGGUGCACAUCGGCGACCUUUACCCCGAAGGCAAGACGAGGCCGCUGCUGCCGAACGAGCUGAGCCGCGACCAAUUCGGGCAGGGCGACCACUACGACUGCAGUACGCUGACGGCGUUCGCGGCACUGCUGGAACACCACCCCGACGUGAUCCGCAACUGCUUCAUCUCGAAGAACCCGCGCAAGGAUGGCCGCUACACGUUCCAGUUCCACCGCUACGGGCAGUGGAUCAAGGUGGAGAUCGACGACCGCAUUCCGAUGGUGAAGGACGACACGGUGUUUUGCCGCUCGCCGACGCACCACUGGUGGCCGCUGCUGCUGGAGAAGGCGUACGCGAAAUUCUACACGCGUUAUGAGGACCUCGAGAACCUUUCGCAGGAAGAGGUCUUUCACGACUAUACAGGUCGUCCGUGCAUCUCUGUGUCGACUGACCCGGCGCAGGCGAAGGUGAACAUGUCCUACUUCGACGAGGCGCCCUACUGGAAGGAGCUGGCUAGCAAGUUGCCGGACUUGUGCACGACUGCACUGGCGAGCGGCCGAGAGGCGGAGCAGUACGGUUUGCUGAAGGGACGGCAUUACGCGGUGCUGGAUAUUGUAUCGAUAGCCGAUGGGGAACGGGUUAGUGACAUGCUUGUGAAGAUGUACAACCCGUAUGAGGACUCGCCGUACACGGGUCCGAUGAACGCCAAGGACGACGCCUGGACUAGUGAGCUGCAGAGCAGGUUUAGACCCGGAGAUGAUAGCCACGCUUUCUACAUCCCUGCCGACAACUUUGUGACGGCGUUCUCGGCGAUGCAGAUGGGGUACGUUGGUGGCCUUGCGGAGCCUUCUCGGCACUUCAACAGCGAGUGGGGCCAGGACACCAAUGGCGGGGACACGUCUCUCAUAUCAUGGCGCAAGAACCCCUUGUUCAUUUUUUCGAACCCGACAAACGACGUUGUGCAGCUCGUGGCAAUGCUGCGUCAGCCGGAUCAGCGACACUUGCUGCACACCAUGCCAAACCAGGAGCUGGUCUAUCCCAUGAAAGGUCUUUCUGUCGCCCAGGCAAACCCCAGCGCUGCAGGCAUUCCAACAUACUUGGUCACGCUCGAUAAUCACCGUCUUAUUCACCAUGAGAAGCCGCUAGCAGUGCGCGAGGUGACCAACGUGCUGACGAUUCCGCCACAGUCGGUGUGCUACGUCGCUGGGCACUGCAACAACCGCGCCGUUAGCAAAUUUCUGCUCUCCUACUGGUUCAUGCGGGGCGAGGAUGGCGAGAAGCUGCGCAUCGAACGCUACCGCCCAAAGGUGGCGCAGCACCAGCCGGCAAUCGCGCACGUCGAUCUCGGCAACCGCGCAAGCGAGCGGGUCGACUUUUUAAUCGACACACCGACAGAGGUACAUGCGGUACUUCGGCAGGAGAAGGCAUUUGAGUCUCCUCAGGGCGGUGACGUGAUCGCCCAAGACUAUGUUGGCGUCUACUUGUACGAUCUGCAGAACAAUUGCAUCAAAGGACUUCCCUCCGCCAUGAACUACCGCGAGGUGGGUCUCGUGACGCACCUCGCGAAACCGGGCCACUAUGUUUUCUUCAUUACCUGCCCCCACAGUAGCGGUGACGUGCCAUGCAGGGUGGAGAUAGCUGCCGAUGAGGAUGCGCACGUGCGCAUCACAGAGACGCCGCAGAAUGCUGCCGCUCUGAGCGCUCUGGACAUGGCCUUUCUCGAUGCGCACCCGGAAAGUAUUCCACUAUCGGAGUUGCCCAUUGACAGGGAUCUCCCGUUCCAGGACGACUUGGCCGCACUCGAACGCCUCCUCAGCGACCCAUCUGCGAGCGCGGAGGAGAUUCAACGCCUCAAGGAUUGCCUUAACGAGCGGGCGCAUGCUCUGGCGAAGGCAAUACUGGCCAGCGAGCGGCCGAUCUACUUAAUAUCCCAUGACCUCCAUGCACUCAACCCGCUGCUCGACGACGACCAGGCGUACAUGGAUGCGGAACGUGAGCGGUACUACCUCAAACAGGAUUUGCGCAAUCACUACAAGUUGCCCGCACAGGAGGCGAAGCUGCGCAGCAUCGCCGACAGCAUCGCUGACGAGCUUCUCCAUGUCGACCUCUCUUUCAUCGAGGCACGUCCAGAGGGCAUCCCACGCGACGCGAUUCCAAUGAUCUCUGACAAGGCAUUCGCCGAGAUGACGACGGACCUGCUGCGUCUACGGCGUCGUCCGGAGCCGAAUCCAUCAGCCAUUCGUGACGCUGAGCAUCGCCUCAACGAAAGAGCAAAGGAAUUGGCUCGAGCGAUGCACGAUACCGAGCGCACCUACCUCGAUCAACAGCCGCAGCUCGUGCCUCUCGAAUUGUUACCGCUUAACACAGAUGAAAGCUUCUGCGCCGAGGAGGACGAACUCAGGCAGCUACUUCAAUCGUCCCCCUCUGCUCAACAGACUAUCGCCGCCUUACAAGCCAAGUUGAACAACCACGCUCAUGAAUUGGCGCGGCAGCUGAAGGAUGGGGAGCGUGGCAAGCUCCUGGCCGCCUCGUACGAGGGCAUACCGACGUCUGAGCUGCCACUCGACACGGAUGCCGCUUUCCACGAGAUGGAGGUGGAGCGGCUGCGGCGCGUGCGCACCUGUGCGGAUGCGGAUGCGGAUGCGGAGGUUGCGCGUCUGGAGGACGAGAUGCGGAAUCGCGCGCGUGAUCUGGCUGUGUCGAAGAAGGCGAGCGAGCGAGUGAUGCUGCGGAGCAUGGAGACGCCGCUGACGUCGGGGCAGCUGGACGCGCUGCUGGACAAGGACGCGGAGACUGCUGACAUGGAGCGGAGGCUGCGCGAGCUGCGAAAGAAGCCGGACAAGAACGCUGCGGCGAUCAAGGCGCUGGAGGAGGAGGUGCAGAAACGUGCGCAGGAGCUCGCUGACGGGCAUCUUGCCGAGGAGCGUUCCAAGUGUUUGGCGGCAGAGUACGGAGGCCGCACGAUGGGGGCACUUCCGCUGUGCGACGACGCUGCGUACCGUGACGCGGAGGCUGCGUACAUGAAGAUGCUCGAGUCUGACCACGCAGACGCUGCUGCGCUGCAGCGGCUGAUCGACACAAUGAACGAGCGUGCGGCGGGCAUUGCCCACGACAUGAACGUCGCCGACCGAGCCAAGUACCUGCCGAAGGCUCUUCGCGGUGUGCCUCUGCGGGCGCUGCCGCUGGACGAUGACGACGAGUUUCGGCGUUUGGAGCACGAGCGUGCGCGUGCGGCGGGCACGCCUGGCCACAAGGCCGAGGUCGAAGCUCUGGAAGCGCAGCUCCUUGCCCGCGCGGAUGAGUUGGCACGGGCCCGACUUGCGGGCGACCGCGCAUAUCUUGCGCCGGAGCCAGCGGGGAUUCCUCUAGAGCUUGUGCCGCUGGACGAGGAUGCCGAGUUCUGCGCGAAGGAGGCGCAGCGUGCGGAGCUGAAAGAGAACGGGAAGGCCGACCGGAGCGGCAUAGCGCUCAGGGAGACGGAGCUGAACGCGCGUGCCGUAGAGGUUGCGCAGCAGCUGAAGGAUGGGGAGCGUGGCAAGCUCCUGGCCGCCUCGUACGAGGGCAUACCGACGUCUGAGCUGCCACUCGACACGGAUGCCGCUUUCCACGAGAUGGAGGUGGAGCGGCUGCGGCGCGUGCGCACCUGUGCGGAUGCGGAUGCGGAUGCGGAGGUUGCGCGUCUGGAGGACGAGAUGCGGAAUCGCGCGCGUGAUCUGGCUGUGUCGAAGAAGGCGAGCGAGCGAGUGAUGCUGCGGAGCAUGGAGACGCCGCUGACGUCGGGGCAGCUGGACGCGCUGCUGGACAAGGACGCGGAGACUGCUGACAUGGAGCGGAGGCUGCGCGAGCUGCGAAAGAAGCCGGACAAGAACGCUGCGGCGAUCAAGGCGCUGGAGGAGGAGGUGCAGAAACGUGCGCAGGAGCUCGCUGACGGGCAUCUUGCCGAGGAGCGUUCCAAGUGUUUGGCGGCAGAGUACGGAGGCCGCACGAUGGGGGCACUUCCGCUGUGCGACGACGCUGCGUACCGUGACGCGGAGGCUGCGUACAUGAAGAUGCUCGAGUCUGACCACGCAGACGCUGCUGCGCUGCAGUGGCUGAUCGACACAAUGAACGAGCGUGCGGCGGGCAUUGCCCACGACAUGAACGUCGCCGACCGAGCCAAGUACCUGCCGAAGGCUCUUCGCGGUGUGCCUCUGCGGGCGCUGCCGCUGGACGAUGACGACGAGUUUCGGCGUUUGGAGCACGAGCGUGCGCGUGCGGCGGGCACGCCUGGCCACAAGGCCGAGGUCGAAGCUCUGGAAGCGCAGCUCCUUGCCCGCGCGGAUGAGUUGGCACGGGCCCGACUUGCGGGCGACCGCGCAUAUCUUGCGCCGGAGCCAGCGGGGAUUCCUCUAGAGCUUGUGCCGCUGGACGAGGAUGCCGAGUUCUGCGCGAAGGAGGCGCAGCGUGCGGAGCUGAAAGAGAACGGGAAGGCCGACCGGAGCGGCAUAGCGCUCAGGGAGACGGAGCUGAACGCGCGUGCCGUAGAGGUUGCGCAGCAGCUGAAGGAUGGGGAGCGUGGCAAGCUCCUGGCCGCCUCGUACGAGGGCAUACCGACGUCUGAGCUGCCACUCGACACGGAUGCCGCUUUCCACGAGAUGGAGGUGGAGCGGCUGCGGCGCGUGCGCACCUGUGCGGAUGCGGAUGCGGAUGCGGAGGUUGCGCGUCUGGAGGACGAGAUGCGGAAUCGCGCGCGUGAUCUGGCUGUGUCGAAGAAGGCGAGCGAGCGAGUGAUGCUGCGGAGCAUGGAGACGCCGCUGACGUCGGGGCAGCUGGACGCGCUGCUGGACAAGGACGCGGAGACUGCUGACAUGGAGCGGAGGCUGCGCGAGCUGCGAAAGAAGCCGGACAAGAACGCUGCGGCGAUCAAGGCGCUGGAGGAGGAGGUGCAGAAACGUGCGCAGGAGCUCGCUGACGGGCAUCUUGCCGAGGAGCGUUCCAAGUGUUUGGCGGCAGAGUACGGAGGCCGCACGAUGGGGGCACUUCCGCUGUGCGACGACGCUGCGUACCGUGACGCGGAGGCUGCGUACAUGAAGAUGCUCGAGUCUGACCACGCAGACGCUGCUGCGCUGCAGUGGCUGAUCGACACAAUGAACGAGCGUGCGGCGGGCAUUGCCCACGACAUGAACGUCGCCGACCGAGCCAAGUACCUGCCGAAGGCUCUUCGCGGUGUGCCUCUGCGGGCGCUGCCGCUGGACGAUGACGACGAGUUUCGGCGUUUGGAGCACGAGCGUGCGCGUGCGGCGGGCACGCCUGGCCACAAGGCCGAGGUCGAAGCUCUGGAAGCGCAGCUCCUUGCCCGCGCGGAUGAGUUGGCACGGGCCCGACUUGCGGGCGACCGCGCAUAUCUUGCGCCGGAGCCAGCGGGGAUUCCUCUAGAGCUUGUGCCGCUGGACGAGGAUGCCGAGUUCUGCGCGAAGGAGGCGCAGCGUGCGGAGCUGAAAGAGAACGGGAAGGCCGACCGGAGCGGCAUAGCGCUCAGGGAGACGGAGCUGAACGCGCGUGCCGUAGAGGUUGCGCAGCAGCUGAAGGAUGGGGAGCGUGGCAAGCUCCUGGCCGCCUCGUACGAGGGCAUACCGACGUCUGAGCUGCCACUCGACACGGAUGCCGCUUUCCACGAGAUGGAGGUGGAGCGGCUGCGGCGCGUGCGCACCUGUGCGGAUGCGGAUGCGGAUGCGGAGGUUGCGCGUCUGGAGGACGAGAUGCGGAAUCGCGCGCGUGAUCUGGCUGUGUCGAAGAAGGCGAGCGAGCGAGUGAUGCUGCGGAGCAUGGAGACGCCGCUGACGUCGGGGCAGCUGGACGCGCUGCUGGACAAGGACGCGGAGACUGCUGACAUGGAGCGGAGGCUGCGCGAGCUGCGAAAGAAGCCGGACAAGAACGCUGCGGCGAUCAAGGCGCUGGAGGAGGAGGUGCAGAAACGUGCGCAGGAGCUCGCUGACGGGCAUCUUGCCGAGGAGCGUUCCAAGUGUUUGGCGGCAGAGUACGGAGGCCGCACGAUGGGGGCACUUCCGCUGUGCGACGACGCUGCGUACCGUGACGCGGAGGCUGCGUACAUGAAGAUGCUCGAGUCUGACCACGCAGACGCUGCUGCGCUGCAGUGGCUGAUCGACACAAUGAACGAGCGUGCGGCGGGCAUUGCCCACGACAUGAACGUCGCCGACCGAGCCAAGUACCUGCCGAAGGCUCUUCGCGGUGUGCCUCUGCGGGCGCUGCCGCUGGACGAUGACGACGAGUUUCGGCGUUUGGAGCACGAGCGUGCGCGUGCGGCGGGCACGCCUGGCCACAAGGCCGAGGUCGAAGCUCUGGAAGCGCAGCUCCUUGCCCGCGCGGAUGAGUUGGCACGGGCCCGACUUGCGGGCGACCGCGCAUAUCUUGCGCCGGAGCCAGCGGGGAUUCCUCUAGAGCUUGUGCCGCUGGACGAGGAUGCCGAGUUCUGCGCGAAGGAGGCGCAGCGUGCGGAGCUGAAAGAGAACGGGAAGGCCGACCGGAGCGGCAUAGCGCUCAGGGAGACGGAGCUGAACGCGCGUGCCGUAGAGGUUGCGCAGCAGCUGAAGGAUGGGGAGCGUGGCAAGCUCCUGGCCGCCUCGUACGAGGGCAUACCGACGUCUGAGCUGCCACUCGACACGGAUGCCGCUUUCCACGAGAUGGAGGUGGAGCGGCUGCGGCGCGUGCGCACCUGUGCGGAUGCGGAUGCGGAUGCGGAGGUUGCGCGUCUGGAGGACGAGAUGCGGAAUCGCGCGCGUGAUCUGGCUGUGUCGAAGAAGGCGAGCGAGCGAGUGAUGCUGCGGAGCAUGGAGACGCCGCUGACGUCGGGGCAGCUGGACGCGCUGCUGGACAAGGACGCGGAGACUGCUGACAUGGAGCGGAGGCUGCGCGAGCUGCGAAAGAAGCCGGACAAGAACGCUGCGGCGAUCAAGGCGCUGGAGGAGGAGGUGCAGAAACGUGCGCAGGAGCUCGCUGACGGGCAUCUUGCCGAGGAGCGUUCCAAGUGUUUGGCGGCAGAGUACGGAGGCCGCACGAUGGGGGCACUUCCGCUGUGCGACGACGCUGCGUACCGUGACGCGGAGGCUGCGUACAUGAAGAUGCUCGAGUCUGACCACGCAGACGCUGCUGCGCUGCAGCGGCUGAUCGACACAAUGAACGAGCGUGCGGCGGGCAUUGCCCACGACAUGAACGUCGCCGACCGAGCCAAGUACCUGCCGAAGGCUCUUCGCGGUGUGCCUCUGCGGGCGCUGCCGCUGGACGAUGACGACGAGUUUCGGCGUUUGGAGCACGAGCGUGCGCGUGCGGCGGGCACGCCUGGCCACAAGGCCGAGGUCGAAGCUCUGGAAGCGCAGCUCCUUGCCCGCGCGGAUGAGUUGGCACGGGCCCGACUUGCGGGCGACCGCGCAUAUCUUGCGCCGGAGCCAGCGGGGAUUCCUCUAGAGCUUGUGCCGCUGGACGAGGAUGCCGAGUUCUGCGCGAAGGAGGCGCAGCGUGCGGAGCUGAAAGAGAACGGGAAGGCCGACCGGAGCGGCAUAGCGCUCAGGGAGACGGAGCUGAACGCGCGUGCCGUAGAGGUUGCGCAGCAGCUGAAGGAUGGGGAGCGUGGCAAGCUCCUGGCCGCCUCGUACGAGGGCAUACCGACGUCUGAGCUGCCACUCGACACGGAUGCCGCUUUCCACGAGAUGGAGGUGGAAUGGCUGAGGCUGAAGGUAAUGGAUAGGCAACCUAAUGGGGCAACGAAGAGCAGCCUUCAUGCUGCACUAAAUCGCAGGGCAGCGGAUUUGGCGCGUAGUCUUCGCGUUGCCGACCUCUCUUCUGUUGAGGCCGCUCCUCUUGGACUUUCGAAGGAGUUGCUGGAUUUGCACAAUGACAGUGUGUGUGCGGUGCUCAUCAAGGAGGUGCGGCAGCUCCGCCAGAAUGCUGUAGGCAACACUGCCGUUCUCCGGGAAAAGGAGUCGGCGUUGAAUGACCGUGCCUUCGAGGUGGCGCGGAGGUUGCUGUCCGGCGACCGGUUGAGCUAUCUUGGCCCCAAGCCGCUCAGCAUUCUGCUGGAGCAUAUUCCGCUUGACGAGGAUGAUGUAUUCCAUGCCUUGGAGGUGGAGCGGAGCAUGAUGAAGGUUACUGACCCGGCCAACAGCGUCGCUGCUGUGCGGAAGGCAGAGAACAUGCUGAAGGACCGCGCGUGCCAGCUGGCGGAGUUGGUGAUGAAGGAAGAUCUUGCCAACUUCCCUCCCAACUACCAUGGCAUCUGCACGAAGGAUCUGAAGCCGCACUUCGAUCGCCUCUUCAGUGAGGCAGCCGAGAAGCGUCGCGCCGGCAUGCGCGACCGGACCAUCACAUUUAAGGAGAACCUUGAGCAAAUCAUGGACGACCGUCUGAACGAGCUUGCGCUGGAGCGGAAGGAAGGUGAGCUGUACUUCAUUGACCCCAACCCAGAGGGUGUGCCGCUGUCAGAGCUGCCGCUGAGCACCGACAAGGCCUUCAAUGACCUGCGGCAGGGGCGACAGGAGCUUAGGGAAAGCGACCCAAUGGAAAACCGGAAGGCCAUUGCUGGUCUAGAGGAUGAGAUGAACAGAAGAGCGGCGGAGCUUGCUCGCAGUGUGCUGAGUAGCGACUUGGACGGCUUGGACAAGCUUCCAUUGGGUAUUCCGCUGGACCUGUUGAAACCGCGCCAAGACGCCGAAGUGGUGCGGCUAAUCGAAGAGCUGCGGCGGUCGAAGCGGCUGCCACAGCUGAAGCACAAUGUCGCGGAGCUGCAGGCAAAGCUGAACGAGCGCGUACACGAGCUUGCCACGGCGGCGCUGGAAGAAGGGCGUGAUGCAUACCUCGACCCCCACCCUGAAGGGGUGCCGCGUGAGAUACUGCCGCUGCGUACUGACGCCGUGUUCCAAAAGGAGGUGCAGCGGGCAAUUCUGCGUCUGCAGGACCCCGCCAAGCACGCUGGUGCUAUAGCGCAUCUGGAGAGCGAGCUCAAGGCUUGCGUGAAAGAGUUGGCACUUGCGCAGAAGGAGGAGGACCUGCGCGGUCUGGAUCAGCAACCCCACGACCUGCCGCUGACACUCCUGCAGCCGCACCAGGACGCCCAGCUCGGGAAGAUGAUAGAUGAGCUGCGCUGGCUGAAGGCGUCGGAAGGCGAUCAGCACAUUGCGGUAAAGGAGGUGCAGUCUCGCAUGAACGACCGUUGCUACGCGAUGGCAGACAGUGCCAUGAAGGGCGACCGCUGUUACCUGGAUCCGAAGCCGGAGAAGGUGCCACUCAGGCGCCUGCCGCUCGACACGGAUGCCGCCUUCCACGCUCUUGAGGUGGAGCGGGCAAAGCUGAAGCUGACAGACCCCAGGAAGAACGAGCACAAAAUCGCCGGCUUGGAGGCUCAACUGAACAGCCGCGCAGCGGAGCUGGCCAGGGCUGUGAAGAAGGCAGAUCUCAAGUCGGUGGAACAGACACCGCGCGGUAUCCCGUUGGAGCUACUCAACCUGCAUGAGGACCCCACGUUUAGUGCGUUGAUUGCAGAGAAGGAGCAGCUGCCCGAGGGUCACAGCGCAGAUUUGGCCGCCAGGCUGCUCAGCUCGAUGAACGAAUGCGCGAUGAAGGCAGCCGACAAGCUUCUCCGUGGCGACCGCGGUUACCUCGAUCAGGACCCGGAGGGUCUGCCUCUUGGGCAUCUGCCUCUUGACACCGACACGGCCUUCCAUGAGAUGGAGGUGGAGCGGGCACUUUUGAAGGCGCGCGAUCCUGUCAAGAACUCCUCCACCAUAAAGGACCUCGAGGCCCAGCUAAACAAACGCGCGCACGAUCUGGCGAAUGCGGCACUCGCGAUGGAUCGUGGCUACCUCAGCCCGAGGCCGGAAGGUGUGUCGAUCGAGGAGCUGCCACUCUUCACGGACAGCAAGUUCCACUCGCUGGAGGUGGAGCGGGCGAAGUUGAAGAUGUCCCGCGCGGAUGGGCACGCGGAGCGCAUGCAAGAGUUGGAGGGCCGCCUCAACAAACGCGCGGCGAGUCUGGCGAGGGAGCAACUCGAGGAGGACCUGAAAGGACUGGACCAGGAACCUGAGGGCUACCCGCUCAACUUUCUGCGGCCUCACAACGACGCGGUCUUUGCUGCGGAGGUGGUGUCGCUGCGGCGGGCAAAGAAGGAGCCGCUGGUAAGUGCGGCGAAGGUGCGCGACGCGCAAGAGGCUCUGAAUGUACGCGCUCACGUGCUCGCGAGGGAGCGCAUUGCGGCGGACCGCGCUCGGCUGGACCAGGAACCGGAGAAUGUUCCGUUGUCACUGCUAACGCUUGAGGAAGAUGCGCUGUUUGUGGCGAUGGAAAUGAAGCUCCGAUCGCUGAAGGCUUCUGACAAGCAGAGCCCGAGGGCGAUCGCCGAGGCGGAGGGGCGGAUGAACGACCGCGUGCACGUGAUGGCAGCCAAGGUGAAGGCGGAGGGCCGCGACUUUCUUCGAAGCAAGUCGUUUGAUAUUCCGAAGGAGCUGCUGGCCCUGGACGCGGACAAGGCCUUUGUGGCCAUGGAGAAAGAGCUUUGGAAGCAGAAGCAGCAGCCACAUGCCCCUCGCUCCUCCAGCGCCGCCGCCGACUUGCGACGCAAGCUGCAGGCGCGGGCCGACGAGGUGGGUGAAGCGCAGCUGAAGAAUGACCGUGACAAGUACCUCGACAUGCAGCCCGAAGGUGUGGACCUGUGCGACAUCCCGCUCGACACCGACCAUGCUUACCACGGAAUGGAAGUCAAGCGGGCAAUCCUGCUGGCCCAAGACGCGACCGGGACAAGGUCCGCAGUGGAGGAACUGGAUAAGGAGCUGAAUGCGCGCGCCCACGAGUUGGCGCACGAAAUCGUCGUGGGCGAUCGCGGCUACUUGCCUGAAGAGAUGCACGGCAUCCCUGUGGAGGAGCUGCCGCUGGACACGGACAGGAAGUUCAUGAAGCUGGAGCGGCAGCGCCGUGCGCACAAGCGCUCACCUGACAUGAAGAAGGAAGUGGCGGCUGAUGAGGAGGAGCUACGCAAUCACGCGCUGAAGUUGGCGGACGAGGUGAUUGCGAUGGAUUUGGAGCCCAUCAAGGCGUCCUACCGCGGCAUCGCGAAGGAGGAGCUUAACCUGCACGCUGACGUGGCGUUUCGCGAGCUCGCGAAGAAGCGCCGCCGGCAUCGUGGUAAGGGGCGAGUCGAGGCGGCGGAGGUGGCCGCCAUCGAGGACGAAAUGGACCGCCGCGCCUGUGAGAUUGCCGAUGACUUGAUCACAGCCGAGCGUGCUUUCCUCGACCCCCAGCCGGAGGGCAUGUACAUUAACGAAGUUCCGCUCGAUGACGACCCGACAUUCCAGAAGCUGGAACAGGAGUACCGCCGGCGCCGCAGGGACCCACGCUCGGCGAAGCAGAAUGGAGAUGUGCUUCGCGAGCUCACCGAGGCGAUGAACCGGCGCUCCCACACCCUCGCUCGGGCCGCCUUUGCAAAGACCCGCGGCUUCAUGGAGCAGGAGCAGGAGGGCAUCCCGUUGGCGGAGCUCGGCCUGGACGAGGAUCCAGAGUUCAAGGAGGCGGAAAUCGCGCGGUACCGCAUGAACCACAGCGCCUCUCCCAACGCGGCCACGGUGGCCGAGAUGGAAUUGCGCAUGAACGAAAGAGCGAGGGAGCUUGCGUGGGCAACACUGGCUGCCGACCGCGUCUUUCUGGACCCCAUGCCGGAAGGCGUGCUGCUGGGGGAGCUGCCGCUGGACUCGGACAAGGAGUUCGGCGACCUCGCAAGAGAGCGGCGCCGUCGCAAGAAAACGCUGAAGGGAGGCAUAGGUGAGGCCGAAGUCAGGGCUAUCGAGGAGAAGAUGAACGCUCGUUCGCACGAGCUGGCCAAGGAGUUUCUAGAGGCGGAGCGGGCCUUUCUGUCACGCGAACCGGAAGGUGUGCCGCUGGCUGAUUUGCCCCUCAAUGCCGACUCACUGUUCCGCGCAAUGGAGGACGAGCGACUGCAGCUAAAACGCGAGCCUCUCGGCAACGCCGCGAUUAUAGCGGCAAAGGAGACGGAUUUGGAGGAUAGAGCACACGUGAUUGCCAAGGAUCUGCUUCGCAAAGAGCGCGCGUUUCUCGAUCAGGAGCCGCUUGGCGUGCCGCUGGAGGAGCUGCCUCUGAAUCACGACGAGAUCCUCAACCCUAUCGAGCGCAAGCGCCGUGCACUGCGGAGGCAUCCCAAACGCAACCACGAGGCCAUUCGCGCCUGCGAAGAGCAGAUGGCGGACCGCGUUGGGCAGAUUGCGGAGGAUUUUGUACAGAAGGAGCGGGCGUUUCUGGAUCAGAACCCGGAGGGGGUCCCGCUGCGUUACCUGCCCCUCAACACAGAUCGCGAGUUCCAUGAGAGGGAGCUGCAGCGCCGUAAGCUGCGCCUGCGCCGCGAAAAGAACCGCAGCGAGCUUGCCGACACGGAGCGGAAGAUGAACGAGCGUGUGCACGUGCUCGCCAAGGAUCUGGUCCUCAAGGGUCGCGCCUUCCUGCACUCGGAGCCGUGCGGCGUGCCUAUCGCAGAUGUUCCGUUAAACGAAGACGAGGACUUCCGCAAGAUGGAGGAGCAGCGUCGUGCCCUUAAAGAGGCGGGCCGCAGCGCCGCUUGCGUGAAGACGAUCGAGGAAAAGCUGAACAAUCGCGCCGAGGAACUGGCGCAAGGGUUGCUGGACGACGAGCGAGCCUUCAUGGACUGCGCUCCGCUCGGCAUUCCACUGCACGACCUGCCGCUCAACACGGACCGUCGAAUGCGCGAAAUUGAGCGAACGCGGCGGCAUCUUCGUAAGUUUGAUCCGGAAGGUGGUGCGGUCGAUAUUGCAGUGCUGGAGACGGGCAUGAACGCUCGCGCGUACGAGUUGGCCGAUCAGCUGCUGAGCAGCGACCGGGACUACCUGCAACCGGAGCCGUGUGGCGUGCCGCUAGCGGAUCUCCCGCUGCACACGGAUCGCAUCUUCCACGAAAAGGAACUGGCGCGCUUCCGUGCGAAGAAGAAAGGUCAGACAGACCUGUUUCAGAUGGAGGAUGAACUGAACGAGCGGGCCAUGGAGCUGGCGGCGGAAUUCAUUCAGACGGAGCGCGCGUACCUCGACCAGGAGCCGGAGGGCAUUCCACUUGAACGGCUGCCGUUGGAUACGGACCCGAUCUUUCACAACAUUGAGCUGGAGCGGCGGCGUCUGAAGCGUAGCGGCGAGAACUCGCCCCAGGUGCUGGAGCUGGAGCGCCUGCUGAACCGUCGCGCGCAUGAGCUGUCGAUGGAGCUUCGAGGGUGGCAGGACCCGGAGUUCCACGCGGCCAAUGAGCACGUGGCGGAGCAGUGGGUGCGCGUGUGCGAUCUGUACCCCGAGGGCCGCUACGAGGACUUCGUGCCGGCAGCCCUGGCGCCGGGUGACGUCGUGUCCGCGCCGCAGGACAUGAGCUACCUUGUCCCGUUCAUUGCCGCUCUGACGCAGCACCCGGUGCUGCUGCGGCGUCUCAUAGUUACGAAGGAGGCCCCAGUCAACGCACCUUACACGUUCAUCUUCUUCGAUCCCCACGGCAAUCCUGUAUACGUAGAUGUCGACGACCGCGUGCCGUGCGACGACAAUCGGGAGCCGAAGUUCGCGCAGUCGCCAUACAACCUAUGGUACCCGCUGUUGCUGGAGAAAGCGUACGCCAAGUUCGUCGGCGGCUACGACCAGCUCAUCAACUGUACCUCUCUGGAGACGCUGCGUGACCUUACGGGUCGCCCUGUGACGCACACCCCUUUCAAACGGAAGCUGGCGGAGGCUGGCAACCUCGACAACUAUAUGACCGUGGACUUCUGGCUAGGCGUGAAAGAGGGCAUGGCGCGCGGUGACGUGGUCGUAUGCUCGUCAAACGCUGAGGUACCGAAUGGCAUUCAUCCCUGCUGCAGCUACGCGCUCGUCGACGUGGUCAUCACGCUGGAGGGCUCCGUGAACCCGUCCGACAUUGUCAUCAAGCUGGAGAACUCGUACCGCAAUGGUGAGCCGGUCUACACCGGUCCACUCUGCCACACGGACGUGAACUGGAGCCUGGCGCUGCAGCGCGUAUGCCAGUACGACCCGGAGAGGGACGACGUGCUCUACCUGCCCCUGCCCACGUUUGUGCGCAACUUCUCGAGCAUGCAGACGUGCCACAUCAACUGCGGCGACCGGCUCACGGUGGCGGGCAUGUGGAACGAUCGCACAAGCGGCGGCAACGCCAACUUCACGACCUUCCGCAACAACCCCAUCUUCAUUCUUCAGAACAACAGCUCUCGUCCGGCGACCGUUCUAGCAGAGCUUCGCCACGCGGCGCCACAGUUCGUCGAUCCUGAAGGACGCAGUCACUACCCACAGUCGGGUAUUGCCCUCAUGGAGCCGACGUCUUCGACAGCCCCGCUGACGCCCUUGAUCACAAACAGCACGGCCCGCUUCCUGCAUAAGAGCAUCAUGCUCGACUCGCGUGAGGUGUGUAGCGUGAUGGAGGUGCCUGCACACAGCACGUGUCUUUUCAUUCCCUACACAGCCAACCCAGGCCAGCACGGCGCCUUCUACGUCUCUGUCUACCCAGGAUCGGCGAAGGUCGCGCUCACCCCGCUUCACUACUGCGGACUCUCGCGAGAGCCAAAGAGCGCCGCUGUGACGCUGACACCCGGUGCAGAGGGGCAGCGAGUGGACUUCACGAUCAGCAGCCCUUGCGAUGUGCAUGUGCUGCUGCGCCAGGAGAAGAUGACAGACCGAAUGGCCGCGAUCAAGGGCGAUGCUAUUGCCGAAGACGACGUGGUGAUGGUGGCGUUCAGCGACCAGGCAAUGAAGCUUACCUCCUCUGGCGAUCCGACAAACGCGCGCGAGCACUCGCUUGUGUUCAGGGCAGAGAAGCCGGGCUACUAUUCGCUUCUCCUCACAUCCCCUAAUGAACCUUUCUCUGGCGACAACCCGUGCACCGUGAGCAUCUUCACCCCGAAGCGGGUAAUGGUACGUUUUGUUGCGCCUCCUGCCGGGGCACGGCAGCUGCAACACACCCGCUUCCCGAAACUGCCACAAAAGCUCGCUGCGGCUUUGGGUGGUAACAACCCGCGUCAGUCGCGAGGGGCCUCCACGGCGUGUCAGUCGCAGCAGCGGCAGCAUGAUGAGAGGCUGCCACCACUGCGCAAAAACGGUGCCAGUACCCUGAGUUCCGGUUCCGUCUCGCGCGGCGACAGGUUUACUUGCAGUUUUUAAGGUGCUCGAUGCGCAGCAAGGCGUGCAAUGUGGACUGUGUUGGGCCACGAGCGAGACAGGUUCACGAGAGGAGGAGAGGAUGAGGCAGACGCAGCUGACAGCAGCCUUCGAUGACUGCGCCCUCUCCUUGCUUUUGACGCGUCUCUCGCACAUUGCGUUGCCCCGUUCUUGCGAAGAUCACUCCUUCCUACCAUGUUCGUUCACCACUUCCCGUGUGUUGCGGGAUGAUGUUUACGUUGCACGUCUCGUAUCGGCCAUGGUGGCCUGGUCUGCUGAAGGACGAACCUGUUUAUGCGGACCACUCCGGUGUGCGUAACGUUCUGCAGGUGCCCCUUUCUUUCCCUGUGAAUCCGUGUAGGCGCAUGCGUGGAGGUGCCUUGGCUGUCUCCUGUCUUGCGUUCGUGCUUUUAGGCGUUGCUGUUUUGUUGGUUGUUCUCGAUCCCCGCGCCGCGCUUCCUUGUCUACGAACGCCUUUUCCCACUCAUUAAUCUACGGCUUUCCGUCGGUGUCAGGGGACCGUUUCGACUGUCUCGGCGCUGUGUGUGUCUGUGUUCGUUAGUGCGUGUGCGCGUGCCGAUACGUGUGGGCAUGCGCCAAGGAGAGGAAGAGGGUGCACGGAUAGAACAGCGUCCGGGGGCGAUGACGGGGAAAGGGCGGCGAGACACGAGUGUUGUAAACAAGAAAGGGCGACAAAAAGCGAAGGAAGAGCGCGUGCAUGUAUGUGGCAGCUGGCAUGGGUUAACGGGGCAGCACGACGUCGAGAAUGGCAGGCGGGCAAGAGGAGGGGGCGCAGUGCUUUGUGAGUGCGACUCUGCCUUACUCGAUGCGUGCGCGUCGAUCGUUUCUCGUCGUGACCUUCUGUCGAGAGCUUCAGUUAGCGGGACGAAGCGGGCCGUGCUGUUCUGCAUGUUAUGUCACGUGCGUGUGCGCGAACCCUCGUGAGGGAUGGAGGCGCUUGCUCGUCGACACCUGUUUAUGUUUGUCCAAUGCAGAAUGCCACAGUAGCACCAUAGAGGCCUGUUGCACCGCUGCACGGCGUUUGAAGGGAGCGACUUCAUGCGGACAGCGUUUUGUUGCUGUCUUCGGAUUCCCCUCACCGUGACACUCUGCCUUGUCGCUCCUGGGCUAUAUGUGAUCGCCGCGAUGGGUACUGAGAAGCAUGUUCUUUGCUUCCAUCACAGCCCCAUCAGGUGCACGCGCUCCGCUUCGUCUAUCUUUAUCUUCGCUGCGAAGCUGGACGUUGCGCCGCGCUGAGCGAGAGGCAAGGGGUGAGGGCGCAUAAAUUGCUUCUCCGACGUUACCGUGUAUCUAUGUGUGCAGGGCUGGUGUUUGGCGAUAAUGACGAUCGUGGUUGCAACCGAGGAGAGAUGGCUUGGGAAAACAGAAAAACAGUGGCUUUUUCUCCAAAACCUUCACCGACCGCCGUACUCGUGGACGCACCCUGCCUGCACACACACAUACACACGAAGUCAUGCAGUCUCGCCACCCCCAACUAAGUUGAAAACGGAGCGGAAGUGCACGAAAAGCGAAAAAGAGCAUCUGCUUUUUCAUGUCGAUGAGGGAGUGGGUGAUCAUCUGAGGCGCUCGCACGAGCUCGGCCGGUUCUUCUGAGGAGGGUGUGCACGUGUCGAUGCUCCGCCUCUCUCUCCCUUCCUAUCUCGACAAGUAUGUACUUCUUUUGUUUUACUUUCUGCAGUGUGCAUCGAUGUUUGCUUUUUUUUUUCGCCCUUUUAAAGACUCUGCGUGCUCGCACGUCGGUGCGUGUGUACUUCCCGUUUUGAACGUGUUCUUUCUUGGUCUUGUUGUUUGGCAUCUUCUUUGCUUCUCAUAUAUCUAUAGUUCCGCGUCGCCGGUUGUCUACCGCCACCAUCGCUCUUGUCCACACCGCACGCACACUGCGCGUGCGCGGCUGCGUAGUGUGCAGAUGCCUUCUUCUAUGGAUGUAAUCUUUCAUGUCGUUUUUUUUUUUUGGUGGCAUGCGGGCAUAUGGCAAUUCGCUGCCGACGUUGUGGGAACUUUGUUUUCUUUCCGUGAUUGAUGCCCCCCCCCAGCACCAUUACUCACUCUCCCCACUCGGGUGUAUGAAAACGCUCCUGUAUUCCUGAUGUAUGAUCCGUAGCACGCGCGAGUAUCUGAUGUACAGAGUCUUUGUAUUCCUACACGGUCUACUUGUCUCGCUUUGACAACUUACCGAAAAAAAAAAGAAAGACAAAACAACUCACUUCACCUGAAGGGAAGUGCAGUGGGUUUUUUAUACUCUGCCGCCACCACUGCUUGUACCCCCUCCCCCUCCCCCCAAUCUCGCCACCCUUACACCUUUCUUGUAGAGAAGGCGAGUGAUCUCGAGCCUUGCUGAUGUAGCCAUCCUGCAGAAC
rnacentral:misc_RNA from 1 species